rnacentral:rRNA from 1 species
UCCGUAGGNGAACCUGCGGAAGGAUCAUU